CUGGGCUUUCCAAGUAGUGCGCAGAGAUGCUGUGGUUGUGCGUCUUGGCGCCGCCGAAGAUGAUGUCCCAAGGGCCGUCGUCGGCUUUUGCUUGGUAGAACUCCACAACCAGCAGCUCGAAUCGAGUGCGCUUGGGGUUCUGGUAGUGCAUCACAACCCAAUU
rnacentral:ribozyme from 15 species